rnacentral:rRNA from 1 species
AUUGAACGCUGGCGGCAUGCCUUACACAUGCAAGUCGAACGGUAACAGGUCUUCGGAUGCUGACGAGUGGCGAACGGGUGAGUAAUACAUCGGAACGUGCCCGAUCGUGGGGGAUAAUGAGGCGAAAGCUUUGCUAAUACCGCAUACGAUCUACGGAUGAAAGCGGGGGAUCUUCGGACCUCGCGCGGACGGAGCGGCCGAUGGCAGAUUAGGUAGUUGGUGGGAUAAAAGCUUACCAAGCCGACGAUCUGUAGCUGGUCUGAGAGGAUGAUCAGCCACACUGGGACUGAGACACGGCCCAGACUCCUACGGGAGGCAGCAGUGGGGAAUUUUGGACAAUGGGCGAAAGCCUGAUCCAGCCAUGCCGCGUGCAGGAUGAAGGCCUUCGGGUUGUAAACUGCUUUUGUACGGAACGAAAAGCCUCUUUCCAAUAAAGAGGGGUCAUGACGGUACCGUAAGAAUAAGCACCGGCUAACUACGUG